UUAUGGCCAUAUCACAUUGAAACACCAGUUUCCAUACAAUCAGUGAAGUUAAGCAACAUUGAACCUAGUCAGUACCUAGAUGGGUGACCCUUUGGGAAUACCAGCUUGG